ACGGCUCCGCUCGGCCCCGCUCCCAGCACCCCAGCGCCCUCCCGAGGCACGGGACGAGCGCUCGGAAGCAGAGCCCCGCGGUGCGGGCGGCCGGCGCGGCCCUGAGGUGGGAAAGGGGCACGAGCUGCUGCCUUCGUAUUCUUCGUGAAGACCUUGCCCCGGCUGCUUUCGUCCCGGCGUUCCAGCAGGUGAGGAGCCCAGCUCGGGUAGUGGUUCUCAGUGCUUCCUCUUCAGGAUGUGAAGCUCGGGGACAUCUAAGCAAGCAGAGAAGAGACAAGAACUUGGAUCACUCAGACUGCUGCGUACCUGAGGCACUAAGCCUCCUUGCCUGUGGGAGCGAAGUCUGACCCAGGAGUGUGCCAAAGCAAUUAGUGGAGCAGUUUGGAACAGGAGAGCAUCUUACCAAGUGAUUCGUGCAGGAUUGGCACCUCCUUGAAACCUCCUUUGUCACUGAAGUGAAAUCGUGCAGCUUAGUGGAACAGAGCCACUCCGUGCCAUCACAGCUCUGCCUGUGAGCACCUAGUGGCAGUGGCCGAAAGCACACAGUAAAACAAUACCACUGUACGGACUGACAGUCUAUUUCUUCACACCCUCUCCCCUCCACGUGAAACUCUAUAGCUCCCUGUUUCCCUGAGAGUGCCUGGAAACAGGUUUUAUUCUAUUAGCUAGAAAUAAAGGUCAUUUUGCAUCACAACGGUGGCAAAUCGGAAGCCUCAAAUUGAAGUACAGAGAACACGUUUGUAAUUGCAUAUCCAAAAGCUGUAACAAACAAGUUACACAACGAAUACCU